UAGCUUAGUUGGUAAAGCACUCGUCUAGCAUACAGGAGUCGUGGGUUUGAAUCCCAC
rnacentral:tRNA from 1 species